rnacentral:rRNA from 1 species
AUAUCAAUAAGCGGAGGAAAAGAAACCAACAGGGAUUGCCCUAGUAACGGCGAGUGAAGCGGCAACAGCUCAAAUUUGAAAUCUGGCCCCAGGCCCGAGUUGUAAUUUGCAGAGGAUGCUUUUGGCAAAGCGCUUACCGAGUCCCCUGGAACGGGGCGCCACAGAGGGUGAGAGCCCCGUAUGGUAGGACGCCGAGCCUCUGUAAAGCUCCUUCGACGAGUCGAGUAGUUUGGGAAUGCUGCUCUAAAUGGGAGGUAAAUUUCUUCUAAAGCUAAAUACCGGCCAGAGACCGAUAGCGCACAAGUAGAGUGAUCGAAAGAUGAAAAGCACUUUGAAAAGAGGGUUAAAUAGCACGUGAAAUUGUUGAAAGGGAAGCGCUCGUGACCAGACUUGCGCCGGGCGGAUCAUCCAGCGUUCUCGCUGGUGCACUCCGCCCGGCUCAGGCCAGCAUCGGUUUUCGCCGGGGGACAAAAGCUUCGGGAACGUGGCUCCCUUCGGGGAGUGUUAUAGCCCGUUGCUUAAUACCCCGGCGGGGACCGAGGACCGCGCUUCGGCAAGGAUGCUGGCGUAAUGGUCAUCAGCGACCCGUCUUGAAACACGGACCGAGGAGUCAAGCAUUAGUGCGAGUGUUUGGGUGUAAAACCCGCACGCGUAAUGAAAGUGAACGUAGGUGAGAGCUUCGGCGCAUCAUCGACCGAUCCUGAUGUUUUCGGAUGGAUUUGAGUAGGAGCAUUAACGCUUGGACCCGAAAGAUGGUGAACUAUACUUGAAUAGGGUGAAGCCAGAGGAAACUCUGGUGGAGGCUCGCAGCGGUUCUGACGUGCAAAUCUAUA